UACGUAGGGUGCAAGCGUUAAUCGGAAUUACUGGGCGUAAAGCGUGCGCAGGCGGUUAUGUAAGACAGAUGUGAAAUGCCCGGGCUUAACCUGGGAACUGCAUUUGUGACUGCAUGGCUAGAGUUUGGCAGAGGGGGGUAGAAUUCCACGUGUAGCAGUGAAAUGCGUAGAUACGUGGAGGAACACCGAUGGCGAAGGCAGCCCCCUGGGUCAAGACUGACGCUCAUGCACGAAAGCGUGGGGAGCAAACAGG
rnacentral:rRNA from 1 species